rnacentral:rRNA from 1 species
AAAUCCCCCGGCUUAACCGCGGUUUGCACAACAAACUCCUCUUCUGUAGGCAGGUAGGGCUGCAUGGAACUUUUGCUGGAACGGUGGAAUGCCUAGAUAUCAAGAGGAACCGCAGACGCUUAAUGUCGUGCAACUGCGCCAUGUCUUGACGUUGAGGUGCGAAAGCGUUGGGAGCGAACGGGAUUAGAUACCCCGGUAGUCCACGCCGUUAACGAUGUCUACUAGCUCCUGGGUGUUCUGACACAUUCACGGCCGGAGCAAAAGUGUUUAGUAGACCGCCUGGGGAGUACGCCUGCAAGGUUAUAACUCAUAUGAAUUGACGGGGGCUAACACAACCGGUGGAGCAUGUGGAUUAAUUCGUAUCUACGCGCAGACCCUUACCUGGGUUUGACAUGCUUGGAUGCCUGCUCUGAAAGGAGUUAGCCUGCCUUCGGGUGAAACUUGCACAGCUGCUGCAUGGCUGUCGUCAGCUCGUGUCGUGAGAUGUCGCUCAUACUCCUUUUACGAGCGUAACCCUUGCCGUUAGUUGCCAGCGAGUUAUGUCGGGGACUCUAACGGGACUGCCGGUGUUAUACCGGAGGAAGGUGGGGAUGACGUCAAGUCCUCAUGGCCUUUAUGCCCAGGGCUUCACACGUGCUACAAUGGCAAUUACAGAGCGAUGCGAUACCACGAGCUGGAGCAAAUCGCAAAAAAAUUGCCUCAGUUCGGAUUGCAGGCUGGAAUUCGCCUGCAUGAGUCGGAUCGCUAGUAUCGUUAUCAGCUACACCCGGUGAUGUGUUCCUGAGCCUGUACACACCGCCCGUCAAUGAUGGAGCCGGGAGUACCCGAAG